rnacentral:rRNA from 1 species
CAGCAGCCACGGUAAUACGUAGGGUGCGAGCGUUAAUCGGAAUUACUGGGCGUAAAGCGUGCGCAGGCGGUUGUGUAAGACAGGUGUGAAAUCCCCGGGCUUAACCUGGGAACUGCGCUUGUGACUGCACAGCUAGAGUAUGGCAGAGGGGGGUGGAAUUCCACGUGUAGCAGUGAAAUGCGUAGAGAUGUGGAGGAACACCGAUGGCGAAGGCAGCCCCCUGGGCCAAUACUGACGCUCAUGCACGAAAGCGUGGUGAGCAAACAGGAUUAGAUACCCGGGUAGUCCCUGUCUCUUAUAA